GCCCAUCAGAAGGGGAUAACGCUUGGAAACAGGUGCUAAUACCGUAUAACAAUCGAAACCGCAUGGUUUUGAUUUGAAAGGCGCUUUCGGGUGUCGCUGAUGGAUGGACCCGCGGUGCAUUAGCUAGUUGGUGAGGUAACGGCUCACCAAGGCUACGAUGCAUAGCCGACCUGAGAGGGUGAUCGGCCACAUUGGGACUGAGACACGGCCCAAACUCCUACGGGAGGCAGCAGUAGGGAAUCUUCGGCAAUGGACGAAAGUCUGACCGAGCAACGCCGCGUGAGUGAAGAAGGUUUUCGGAUCGUAAAACUCUGUUGUUAGAGAAGAACAAGGAUGAGAGUAACUGUUCAUCCCUUGACGGUAUCUAACCAGAAAGCCACGGCUAACUACGUGCCAGCAGCCGCGGUAAUACGUAGGUGGCAAGCGUUGUCCGGAUUUAUUGGGCGUAAAGCGAGCGCAGGCGGUUUCUUAAGUCUGAUGUGAAAGCCCCCGGCUCAACCGGGGAGGGUCAUUGGAAACUGGGAGACUUGAGUGCAGAAGAGGAGAGUGGAAUUCCAUGUGUAGCGGUGAAAUGCGUAGAUAUAUGGAGGAACACCAGUGGCGAAGGCGGCUCUCUGGUCUGUAACUGACGCUGAGGCUCGAAAGCGUGGGGAGCAAACAGGAUUAGAUACCCUGGUAGUCCACGCCGUAAACGAUGAGUGCUAAGUGUUGGAGGGUUUCCGCCCUUCAGUGCUGCAGCUAACGCAUUAAGCACUCCGCCUGGGGAGUACGACCGCAAGGUUGAAACUCAAAGGAAUUGACGGGGGCCCGCACAAGCGGUGGAGCAUGUGGUUUAAUUCGAAGCAACGCGAAGAACCUUACCAGGUCUUGACAUCCUUUGACCACUCUAGAGAUAGAGCUUCCCCUUCGGGGGCAAAGUGACAGGUGGUGCAUGGUUGUCGUCAGCUCGUGUCGUGAGAUGUUGGGUUAAGUCCCGCAACGAGCGCAACCCUUAUUGUUAGUUGCCAUCAUUCAGUUGGGCACUCUAGCAAGACUGCCGGUGACAAACCGGAGGAAGGUGGGGAUGACGUCAAAUCAUCAUGCCCCUUAUGACCUGGGCUACACACGUGCUACAAUGGGAAGUACAACGAGUCGCGAAGUCGCGAGGCUAAGCUAAUCUCUUAAAGCUUCUCUCAGUUCGGAUUGUAGGCUGCAACUCGCCUACA
rnacentral:rRNA from 1 species